ACAAGGGACCGAGAUUACUGGAUGACAAAAUCUAAGAUCAUCUUCGAUGUCUUCGUCGAGGAGAUGGCACAACAGAGGGUUAUGAGGCAAUUUGGUCUUCUGUAGUUGGAGCUACCUCCCCCUAUAGAGAACCCGGUGCCAGCACACAUCCACAGGACGACAAGGAAGGGCAUGAACAGGACAACUACUGACUGGCUAGUUAGACUAGAGCCGUAUGUUAUAGAAUGGGAGACAGCAAACACAAAUCUAUGGCACGAGAAUCACAAUUUCGAUCUCGAUGAAUUCAAUCUCUAUUUGCGGCGCUACAUGACCGGAAAACGGUUACGCAUUGUUGAGUACUCCCACCCAGAGGAGUUACCGGAUCCUACUCCGUCGGAUAUGUACCCGAGCUAUGAUACUUCGGGCUCUAGGCAGUACGCGGCUACCUUGACACGCGAACUGUACGACGACGUGACCACCUUUGGACGAUCACUAUCGUCUGGACCUCUUCUUCAUCAUCGUCCAGUGGUACAGCCCUUCUUGGAAAGAAUUCAGAAUAAGAUACGGACUGUGUACGAGGCUAUCACGUGCACCCGGA